GUGCUUGCUUUGGCAGCACAUAUACUAAAAUUGGAACGAUACAGAGAAGAUUAGCAUGGGCCCUACUCAAGGAUGAUACGCAAAUUCGUGAAGCGUUCCAUAGAACC
rnacentral:snRNA from 14 species